GACGAACGCUGGCGGCGUGCUUAACACAUGCAAGUCGAACGGAAAGGCCCUGCUUUUGUGGGGUGCUCGAGUGGCGAACGGGUGAGUAACAAGUGAGUAACCUGCCCUUGACUUUGGGAUAACUUCAGGAAACUGGGGCUAAUACCGGAUAGGAGCUCCUGCUGCAUGGUGGGGGUUGGAAAGUUUCGGCGGUUGGGGAUGGACUCGCGGCUUAUCAGCUUGUUUGUGGGGUAGUGGCUUACCAAGGCUUUGACGGGUAGCCGGCCUGAGAGGGUGACCGGACACAAUGGGACUGAGAGACGGCGCAGACGCCUACGGGAGGCAGCAGUGGGGAAUAUUGCGCAAUGGGCGGAAGCCUGAUGCAGCAACGCCGCGUGCGGGAUGACGGCCUUCGGGUUGUAAACCGCGUUCGCCUGUGACGAAGCGUGAGUGACGGUAAUGGGUAAAGAAGCACCGGCUAACUACGUG
rnacentral:rRNA from 1 species